GAGAGUAGGUGACGGAAGGUAUAUCAAGAUGAAACAUGAUCUAUUGCUGCCUGCGCACGAAACUUUUAAGCCUAUUUUGCGAUAUGAUGAUGAGACGCAGGAAGGGGUGGUGGAGUAAAAUGAUAUACAACUACCGGAGGAUGGAGAAGAUAUAUUGUUGAUAGGUGCUUUCAAGUUGAUGAAGCAUGCACGCGUAAUCAUUAGCAUGCUGCUAAGUAAGUUUGGCGGUCAAACGAAGAAUGGAUCUUACUCCGUCAGGUCUGGCAACAGAGUAACGCAGGAUCUUAAUCGCAACAGUGAAUUAGGGAGGAAAGGUAUGGACGAAUCGAUUGCAGGGCAAGAAGAAAAUAAUUUGUGGUCAGCUGUCUAGAAACUUGAUGCUCCCCAUAAGUUGCGCGGUGCAGCAAGAAUAUUUUGGCAGUUAGGGUCAACCGCAAGCGACGAGGAAUACGACUUGAAACAUCUUGUCCUAACUGCGGUGCAGGGGAGGAGUCGCAGUGUCAUGUGUUUUUUCAGUGCCCGUAUGCGAAAGCCUUUUGGGUUGGGAGUCCAGUCCAGCUUGAUUCUAAUACGGUGCAGCGAGUGGAUUUUCUUGAGUGCUAACAGUGGCUUCUCAAACGCUAUUUGCAGGAGAUGGAAGUUCAUGAGCUCAUACGGUGGAUAUAUAAUGUUUGGUUUGUGGAGGCUUUGGAAGCGUAGGAAUAGUUUGGCUGUUGAGAUAAAAAGUGUCCAACUCAUGGAUACAGUGAUGAUGCUGCACAACAAUAGGGAUAAUUUGAAGAUACAAAACCAAGGCAAGAGGGAUUUUGCAGGCAUAUUCUAUCCGGGGGCUGGUGACUUUGGAAGCUUCGUCGACGAAUCAAGUAUAACGCUGGAGGUUGAAGCGGUAAAGUGCUUUUAUCUUGGUAUGUGUAGAGAAAGGUUUUUUUAGGUUCACGUUGGAAUCAGGUUCUAGGUGUCUUGUGGGCAUGAUUAAUGGUCCAAUGCAACCUGACGCUAUGCAUGAAGGUCUCUUAUAUGUUUACAAAAGAAAUUGAUGAGGCGUAGAGGUUUUCUUUUGCUCCUAGCGUUUGUAAUAGGGCAACACAUCUUGUCGUUUCUUUUGUUUCUAGGAAAGAUGAUCUUUAUAGAUGAAAUCAUUUUGAGCCGAAAUGGUUGUAUUCUUCGGGCCCUGAUAUAAAUGUUUCCUUCAAAAUUAAUAAAAUUUUCUAUCGUUUGAAAA